rnacentral:tRNA from 1 species
AGCGGGGUAGAGCAGUAGUUAGCUCGCCUGGCUCAUAACCAGGAGGCCGUUGGUGCAAAUCCAACCCCCGCGACCA